UCCCCUAGUAGCGGCGAGCGAAGCGGGAAGAGCUCAAAUUUAUAAUCUGGCACCUUCGGUGUCCGAGUUGUAAUCUCUAGAAAUGUUUUCCGCGUUGGACCGCACACAAGUCUGUUGGAAUACAGCGGCAUAGUGGUGAGACCCCCGUAUAUGGUGCGGACGCCCAGCGCUUUGUGAUACAUUUUCGAAGAGUCGAGUUGUUUGGGAAUGCAGCUCAAAUUGGGUGGUAAAUUCCAUCUAAAGCUAAAUAUUGGCGAGAGACCGAUAGCGAACAAGUACCGUGAGGGAAAGAUGAAAAGCACUUUGGAAAGAGAGUUAACAGUACGUGAAAUUGUUGGAAGGGAAACGCUUGAAGUCAGACUUGCUUGCCGAGCAAUCGGUUUGCAGGCCAGCAUCAGUUUUCCGGGAUGGAUAAUGGUAGAGAGAAGGUAGCAGUUUCGGCUGUGUUAUAGCUCUCUGCUGGAUACAUCUUGGGGGACUGAGGAACGCAGUGUGCCUUUGGCGGGGGUUUCGACCUCUUCACACUUAGGAUGCUGGUGGAAUGGCUUUAAACGACCCGUCUUGAAACACGGACCAAGGAGUCUAACAUGCUUGCGAGUAUUUGGGUGUCAAACCCGGAUGCGUAAUGAAAGUGAAUGGAGGUGGGAACCGCAAGGUGCACCAUCGACCGAUCUGGAUUUUUAAUGAUGGAUUUGAGUAAGAGCACGUAUGUUGGGACCCGAAAGAUGGUGAACUAUGCCUGAAUAGGGCGAAGCCAGAGGAAACUCUGGUGGAGGCUCGUAGCGGUUCUGACGUGCAAAUCGAUCGUCAAAUUUGGGUAUAGGGGCGAAAGACUAA
rnacentral:rRNA from 1 species